CGUCCUUGGAUCCAGACUUUGAUCCUGGCUCACGAUGAACGCUAGCUACAGGCUUAACACAUGCAAGUCGAGGGGCAGCGAUGAAGAAAGCUUGCUUUCUUCAGGCGGCGACCGGCGCACGGGUGAGUAACGCGUAUCGAACCUGCCUCAUACUCAGGAAUAGCCUUGCGAAAGUAAGAUUAAUGCCCGAUGUUAUUAGGAUAUCGCAUGAUGUUUUAAUUAAAGAUUUAUCGGUAUGAGAUGGCGAUGCGUCCCAUUAGCUUGUCGGCGGGGUAACGGCCCACCAAGGCAUCGAUGGGUAGGGGUUCUGAGAGGAAGGUCCCCCACAUUGGAACUGAGACACGGUCCAAACUCCUACGGGAGGCAGCAGUGAGGAAUAUUGGUCAAUGGACGCAAGUCUGAACCAGCCAAGUAGCGUGCAGGAAGACGGCCCUCUGGGUUGUAAACUGCUUUUAGUUGGGAAUAAAGUGCACCACGUGUGGUGUUUUGUAUGUACCAUCAGAAAAAGGACCGGCUAAUUCCGUGCCAGCAGCCGCGGUAAUACGGAAGGUCCAGGCGUUAUCCGGAUUUAUUGGGUUUAAAGGGAGCGCAGGCGGACCUUUAAGUCAGCUGUGAAAUACGGCGGCUCAACCGUCGAACUGCAGUUGAUACUGGAGGUCUUGAGUGCACACAGGGAUACUGGAAUUCAUGGUGUAGCGGUGAAAUGCUCAGAUAUCAUGAAGAACUCCGAUCGCGAAGGCAGGUAUCCGGGGUGCAACUGACGCUGAGGCUCGAAAGUGCGGGUAUCAAACAGGAUUAGAUACCCUGGUAGUCCGCACAGUAAACGAUGAAUACUCGCGAUUUGCGAUACACAGUAAGUCGCCAAGCGAAAGCGUUAAGUAUUCCACCUGGGGAGUACGCCGGCAACGGUGCAACUCAGGGGAAUUGACGGAAGGGAGAAUU
rnacentral:rRNA from 2 species